UCAGACAAUAUGCAUUUUCCUCACUUUGGCAGGAAGAAGGAAAACAAAGUAUUACUUAAAUGGAGAAUGCAUCUCGGAAUUCUGCAGUCAAAGUCUUCUAGUGCACCAGUUGGAUGCAAAUAUAUUGAAGACAGCUUACAGGAUCGUUUCUAGAUUGAUACCUGGAAUAAUGAGGAAAAGUGGACAGACUUGGGCUAGUUUCUACUGGAGUUUAAAAGAGUGACGGGUGACCUGAUUGAAGAAUACCAGAUCCUGAAUGGACGUGACAAGGUGGAUGUGGGGUUCAAGAUGCGUCAUACCUGGAGCUGGGAGUCAAUUCUAUCAAGUCAACACCGAGUUGGGUAUCUAAGGUGGAACAUGCGUCAUUUUAACCUACGUCUCCGAUUAAGACUCUAGACAUGCACCAGCACAAUUCCAUCAUUCUGUUCUUCCAAAACUGAAAGCAAUAAACAGUACGGUCUAAGAUUUCACACUCACGUAUGGUGAUAUUGCUGCUGCGAAGGACAGUAUUUUCCUUCCACAUCAGAACAAAAGCUCCUCCUACAUUUCCGCAUGAACCUGGUUUACUGGAACUGUAAACCUGCCAGGUCUCACUUGUUUCCAGCGACAUUCACAGAGAGGGCGAGAAAUUUUUAAAAAAAAGGCUAACCUUUCUCUGUGCCAUGUUACCAAUCAAGAAAAAUACCCCAAACUCGAUUCAUCUCGUUAGUUUUGUAAUCUGUCACCGUUUCCGAUGAUCUGACCAUAGCAAUCGUGGAACUCCCAUCAUGUUCAAUCUUGAAUUAGGUACACCUUAAAUGACGUGACAGAACAUUCCUGAAGAAUCACCUUUGACUGUAGACUUGACUUGUACACACCAAUAUCCCACCGCUAUUACUCUCAACUAUUCUCUGCUCAACUCCCCCCAGCUUUCAGAGGAAGCAAUCCCAUCAGCUUGAGAGUUAAGGAGCCAAUGUGAUUAGGUAUUUUACUCUCAUUAAUGCAUAGCUUUUAAAAGCCAUCAACCAGAGGCAGAAUGCAUUUUAGCAGCUAUGACAAAAGGGCCCCUCUUGCAAAAGUGCAGCAAAGCUCAAUACCAAGAGAAGAAAAUCCAGCUCAACAACCAACUGCUAGGCCUAUUGCAAGCAGAGCCAACCUAACUGGGGAUCAGGAAGAAGAAUAAAGAGUCCAUGGCCCUUCUACUCACCUACCUGUGACCUUGAUGCCAGUAGAAUGUAAAAAAAAGGUGAGCCCACGAGGUGUUAUCUUUUCUGUAGGCUGCACUUUGGGCUGUGGGUUGUUAAAGGAAUUUGUAGCUGCUGCAUCCAUACAGACAGACAAACGGUGACUUUAAUACACGAGACAGUUUAGGUAGGAGACCCUGAGUUUCAGGUUUCACGUUCAAGGCUGAAGCUUACUGUAAAUGCCAUUUUAUUUUCAGUUCUCGCAGGUUGAGAGAUGAGUCACAUCCACCUUUAAGGUUGUUGUCUGAAUCACCGAGACACACGAGCUGCCACACGUUUUUAUUUAUGAACGCCUGUCUUGCCACAGAUCGUCUUACAGAUUCUGCUGCCAUCAGUUUCUUCAAAUUAAAAAGGAGCAGAGGGGGGUGGGUGGGUGGGUGGGUAGGAAUGACAGAAUACACCGCUACCCAGCAGUCAGCGUCAGUUGCCGAACUUGGCUUUAGGAUCUUAGCUGGACAGUCCAAAAUGGGAGAGAAAAAGGGAUGAUGCACCAAACACAGGCCCUGCUACACUCCUGGGGCAUCCCUGCAGCUAUUCUCACAGUGAAGCAGGUUACUUUUUUUUUAUUGCCUUGGAGAGAGAGGCUAUUGCAAGGAUUUAACAGAACCAACCUAUAAAUUAAUGCAGGAAUCUCAAAGAGAGAAAAAAAAAGAGGAGCAGUCAGUCAUUCGGCUUUCUGAGCCUGCUCCACUAUUCAAUAUGAUCCUGGCUGAUCAUCUCUCUCAAUUCCCUGCUCCCGCUUUCGCCCCAUACCCUUGAAUCGCUUCAGCCCUAUUAAAUAUAUCUAACAUCUUCUUGAAAACAUUCGAUGUUGUGGCAGAGAAUUCCACAGGCUCUCCACGGUCUGGGUGAAGAAACCUCUCCUACCCUGUAUCUUUAGACUAUGACCCCUGGUUCUAGACUACCCGGUCAUUGGGAACAUCCUGCAUUUACCCUGUCUACUCCUGCCUCAAUAUAGUAUCACAGAAUCCUGACAUUGUGGAAAGAGGCCAUUCAGCCCAAUGAGUCUGCAUUGACCCUUUUGAAGAGGAUCCCACCCAAACCCAGUUCCCCCACCCCAUCCCUGUAACCCCAUAUCUAUCCACGUUAACCCACUCAGCCUGUACAUUCCUGAACACCACGGGCAAUUUCCCAUGGCCGAUCCACUUAACUUCCACAUCUUCAUACUGUGGGAAGAAACCGGAGCACCUGGAGGAAACCCACGCAGACACAGGGAGAACGUGCAAACUCCACACAGACAGUCACCCAAAGGUGGAAUUGAACCAGGGUCCCUGGCGCUGAGAGGCAGCAGUGCUAACCACUGAGCCACCAUGCCACCCUUGCUAGAAUUUGAGGUUUCUAUGAGAUUCCCCUCAUUCGUCUAAACUCCAAUGAAUAAAGUCUUAACCGAUCUAUUCUCUCUUCAUACUUUAGACCAGCCAUCCCAGGAAUCAGUCUGAUAAAUCUUCAUUGCACUCCCUCUAUAGUCAGAACAUCCUUCCUCAAAGGGAGGCCAAAACUGCACACUAUACUCCAGGUAUAGUUUCACCAAGGCCCUAAGACAUCCCUGCUCCUGUACUUGAAUCCCCUCACUAUGAAGGCCAACAUACCCUUUGCCAUCCUCACCACCUGCUACCUUAUUUUCAGUAAUUGUACAAGGACACCCAGGUCUUGUUAUACCUCCCCCUCUUCCAAUCUACUGCCAUUCAGAUAAUUAUCUGCCGUCCUGUUUUUUCCUUACUACUGAGUAGAUAACCGCACGUUUAUCCAUAUUACAUUUUAGCUGCCAUGCAUUUGCCAACUCACUCAACUUGUCCUAAAUCAGACUGAAGCACCUCUGUGUUCACCUCAGCUCACCCUCCCACCCAGAUCUGUGUUAUCUCCAAGUUUUCAGACCACUAUAUUUAGUUCCCUCAUCCAAAUGAAUGUGAAUAGUUGGGAGUCUAACCACUGAUCCCCGUGGUAUCCCACUAGUCACUGUCUGCCACUUGGAAAAAGACCCAUUUAUUCCUACGCUGUUUCCUGUCUACCAACCAGUUCUCAGUCCAUGUCAACAAUCCCCAUGUACUUUAAAUUUUACACACUGACAAUGUACAUGGAGCUGAAAUGUAGAGUGAAUUGUUCCUUGGGUCCUUUGUAUCACAAGAACAGAACUGAAUGUGAAUUUGCACUCUUCCGGUUUAUAACAUACAUCUUUUUCUUUGCCAUCGAUGAGCUGCUGCCAGUUCGAUGCUACCCAAGGCCACUUUCAUCCCCUUCAGGAGUUUAGUGCCUGGCACUGAAUCAUGGAACAUCACCAGCAACCAGCAUGUUAAAUGUGUUCCCCUUACAGCCAGCACACUCCUUGCAAGUAUGGCCUUUAGAAAAAUAACUCAAAAGGGACAAAACUCUGUUCUCUCUUGUUAGCUAAGCGACUGGAAUCCAAUCAAGUUGGCGUCUGUGUUCAGUGACACUUGCAAUCCACAUAUUUGCUGAAGGAGCGUUUUUAGCACAUUGCAGAAGGCAUUUCAGGUGGGAAGGAGCCUCGGAGGAGGUGAAAAGGAACAUGUCAAGGACCAGCAGAAUUUGCCACUUCUGUAGGACACUGAAAGUUGGACUUGAUAAGUAGAUGCAGGGGACUGGAUGAAUCUGUGCUUGUGCAAGGAAGAUGUCGGGCAGUAGUUACAAACAAGGACUGGUCACAUCCAGUCCCACAUUGUGAUUAAAAGGUUUAUUGGAGAGAACACGGGUACCUGCUACACUGUUGAAACCCGAUAUCCUUCAGAGGCAAUGAGUGCCAGCUGAGGGAAGACCAAGAGGACUUCACACAAGCAUACCCUUGAGGAAUAAUAAAAAUACACCAACAAGCUGUGUCAGUUGGCAGAGUCUGGUAACCAGGCAGCCUACUGCACUGCACACUCGUUACAAAUUUAAAAACAGCUCCCAUGCCAGUCUAAAUCUCAUGAAAUCUGGUGUUUGUUUUGAAGCAUCUUGCCCAAUCCUACAGCCCUGUUCAUAUUCCACACUGUUUAGUAUUCCUCUUUGUUUCAGAAAAUGAUCUUAAAAUGAUUCAAAAUAAACGAUGAACUUCUUCAAAAAUGCAUUAAAAUUUAAUAAUUGUAA